UUUAUGAAGCAGCACAAAACCAAUAAAAAGGUUUGUGCAUCAAAAUCCAAUAUCUACUGUCCACUACUCUCAAAAGAUUUCUGCAAUAUGCUACACUUCAAACUUCCCUCUCCAUUAUGAUUCUCCGCUCCAUGAUCUGUUUUUUAUGAAGCAGCACAAAACUGAUAAGAAGGUAAAUUUAAAUUCAUAUAUCUGCAAAACUUGAAGUGACUCCUUUCUUAAAGCAGUCUUUCACCUGUUGAUACAUUUUCAGGUUUGUGCAUCAAAACUAAAUAUCUAUUGUCCCCUACUCUCAAAAGGUGAGUGUACAUAUCAUACCUCUAUUAGUUAGUUUUUUUUUCUGUAAGUGUUUUAUCAAGCAGUUAAUGUUCCUUCAACGUAUUUUCAGAUUUCUGCAAUACGCUACUUCAAACUUCCCUCUCCAUUAUGAUUCUCUACGCCAUGAACUGUUUCUAUGAAGAGGCACACAACCGAUUAAAAAGGUAAAUUGAAUUGUGUGUCUGCAAAGCUUCAAUUGACUAAUUUGCACACUUUCACCCAAUAACUGUAUAUUUUCAGGUUUGUGGAUCACUAUUAAAUAUCUACUGUCCACUACUAUCAAAAAG
ensembl:lncRNA